AUACUUACCUGGCAGGGGAGAUACCAUGAUCACGAAGGUGGUUUUCCCAGGGCGAGGCUUAUCCAUUGCACUCCGGAUGU
ensembl:snRNA U1 U1 spliceosomal RNA